UUUUAUACUUUGUUAAAUAAUUGAAAUAUCAUUUAUUCAAAUGUUUCUGGAACUCUUUAAAUACUUUCCUAUGAUUUGAAUACUGUACAGUUAAAUGAUCCCUGAGGUUCCUUGCAGUUCCUUCUAUGAGAACUUGGUAGCAAUUAAUAUUUUGAUGGGGGCUGCUAAGUUUGGGGGUCAAGUUAAACUGUAAAAGUCCUGAAAAACAAUUGUGUCUUUUUAAUAUACGAUGGACUAGAAGAUGCUCUUAAUGGGGCCCAAAGGCACAGGUUUAUUUACCUAUCGAUCAUAACUCCGCAAAUGUACCAUCACAUUAGGAAAAAAAACCGAGUACUUGUGUACUAGUGAUGGUACAAUCACGUGAUUUUAUUUUAAUUUAAAGGAAUGUAGCAUUAUUAUAAUUUUUUCUUGUAUCCAAUACAAGUGUGUCUGAAUUACUGUUCAUUCAGAUCUUAUAGUGCUUUCAUGGUCUGAUAUGUUAAUUUACAAAUUAUUUUUUCAAUUCUUUCUUUCCUUGGUGUAACAUAAUUACUGUAAAAACCUAAAAAAAA